UUAGGAGAAAACAGAGAGCUGGUAGCAGUUCUGAGGACACUAGAGAGGGCAUCGUGAUUGGAGGUCAACACCUACAUUGAUUCCGCCGAUGUGGUUAGGAUAAUUUUGACGGAUUUACAAUUUUAGAGGCAAAAUGGGAGAAUGCAUGUUUUCCACCCUAACCACCUUCUUGCAGACCAGGAGAGGACAUCUCGGAAGGAGGAGAACUACAGACGGAGUGGCCAGGAAUGAGACUGACGUAUCCCGAGCAGACGUAUGUGAGCAUCCUAAAGCGAAAGUGGCACCAGCCGAGAUGGAUGGGACCCAACAAAGUGCCGGAAGGGACCAGUCAUGCUGUCCGUCUGAGAGGGAAGCGCAGCCCCAGGAGCAUCUCCAACUUCAAAGUGAAAUUUGGAAGGACGACUGGACG